UACAGAGGUCUCAAGCGUUGUUCGGAAUUACUGGGCGUAAAGGGCGCGUAGGCGGCUCGCUAAGUUGAAUGUGAAAACUCUGGGCUUAACCCAGAGCCUGCAUCCAAAACUGGCGAACUGGAGUACUGGAGGGGAAAGCGGAAUUCCUGGUGUAGCGGUGAAAUGCGUAGAUAUCUGGAGGAAUACCGGUGGCGAAGGCGGCAUCCUGGACCGCAAUUGACGCUGAUGAGCGAAAGCUAGGGGAGCAAACGGG
rnacentral:rRNA from 1 species